UACGUAGGGUGCAAGCGUUAAUCGGAAUUACUGGGCGUAAAGCGUGCGCAGGCGGUUUUGUAAGUCUGACGUGAAAUCCCCGGGCUCAACCUGGGAAUUGCGUUGGAGACUGCAAGGCUGGAGUCUGGCAGAGGGGGGUAGAAUUCCACGUGUAGCAGUGAAAUGCGUAGAGAUGUGGAGGAAUACCGAUGGCGAAGGCAGCCCCCUGGGUCGACACUGACGCUCAUGCACGAAAGCGUGGGGAGCAAACAGG
rnacentral:rRNA from 1 species